UCAGCAUUAGCUGUAUAACUGAUACACACUGUUGGGCAGAUAAUAUUAAACCAAAUUACUUCUUUUCUCUUUUUGAAAUCAAAAACAUGUGAAAUUAAAGGUUUUGAUAACAGUCUCGGCCUGUAAUCAUGCAUCUCUAGCAAAAUGUUCUACCUGGGAGCAUGUUGACCUAAUUAACAACAUACUGUAUUUAUGCACAUAUAUUUAGGUUGUAUUACGAUGCAUAAAAUAUACAUUUGCAACAUUAGUUGGGGAUGUUGGGGUAUUUCAGUGUCUCUGAUUUUUGUGUUUGGCAUUUUUGACCAAAUACCUCAAUGUUGAUACUUUCACCAAAUAUGAACACAAUUGAGAUUUUUGAUAAGUAACAAUCAGAUAUGAGGAUGUAAUGACUAAGUGUUAGAAGAACAGCCUGCAGACUUGCAUCACUUUUACUGUGAUGCAGCCUUUAAAACCAGGAAAGGACAACAGCUUUGCCACAUCACAAAAUCUCAAGCAUAUUGCCCAGCCAAAACCAACAGCCUGUUUCAGAAUCACUGCAAUGUCUCUUCAGUAGCAGUCCAGAAGUUAUUGAUCAUAUUACAGUCAUGACAUUUUCGGAGGAUUUAAAGAGAGGAAGAGGAAAUCAAACUUUGAGCCUUUUAAACCAAUAUGGCUGUUAGAGGCUCACAAAACAAGGAAACCACAACAGGGAAAUAUGAAGAAGUUCAUUUUUUUAAGACACUUGGUAAACUCCAUCUGCUGAUGAAUGUCAUGUCACUUGAUCAAAAGCUAGAGGAAGAGUUUGUGGACAGCUGUGUGAGCUUUGCCACUGAUGUGUCUGCAGCCACGCAUGUUAAUCAGGAUUUAGCAGCAGAGGUGAUUCAUCAACUUAAGUCAGUGAAAGUGAAACCUGGCGCUGCUGGAUGAACGUAAACCCAUAACUUUAGGUUUCGUAUGUCACCCUGUCAUAUACGUCAACAGUGCAACUUGAAGUAUCUCACGUAAAUUAAGUAGCUUAGCGACACACACAGCCACCGACCAUCUGGACAGAUGAGAGUCAUGCUGCAGAUCUCUGAGGGGAAGCAGGCUGCGUAGACUCCGGCUACAUUUCCCCCCAUGGAGGUUCCAACCAGAUGGAAAGGCUUCCUGUUUAAGCGAAUGGCUUCAACAAACUAAGACAAUUCUUCGGUGUACCUGAUGGAUCCUCCUGACUUGCCCCUGGAUAGAAUAAUCCUCUGUGUUGGAGUAGCAGAAGCGAUAGCCUCCGCAGUCUGCAUAGCGCACCUGCAGGCCCAGAGUCCUCCUCCAGUACCUGAAGGAGAGCAGAGCCUCCCUUCAUCACUGACUGGGUACCUGCUCCAGGUUAUGUAAUGACAGAAAAGAAAAACUCCAGUCAUGUUCUUGACACAUUUCUGAUGGCAGUACAUCAUUGAUGGGAAACACUUGAACAAAUAAAAACACUCGAUUUGUUUGCUGCUCUGGACAAAAGCAUCUAGCAACAAAUUACUCUAAUGUGUAAUAUGAU